rnacentral:rRNA from 1 species
AUGGCUGCUGACUGCGGGAGUAGGGAGGAGAUGUGGAGCCUGGCCGACGCCACCGCGCUCGUCACCGGCGGCAGCAAAGGGAUAGGACAUGCCAUCGUGGAGGAGCUUGCUAGGUUUGGGGCGAGGGUGCACACCUGCUCCCGGAACGCAGCGGAGCUGGAGGAGUGCCGCCGGCGGUGGGAGGAGAAGAACCUCCAGGUCACCGUCUCUGUCUGUGAUGUGUCCGUAGGUGCCGACAGGGAGAAGCUUAUGGAAACGGUCCGACAAACCUUCGACUCCAAGCUCGACAUACUAGUGAACAAUGCGGCACAAUUGUUCUACAAGCCCACUGUUGGAUGUACAGCGGAGGAAUACUCGAACCUGAUGACCACCAACUUGGAGUCGACCUUCCAUCUCAGCCAACUCGCGCACCCUCUUCUCCUACACGCUUCUAUUGCCGGAGGAGGCACCAUCAUCAACAUGUCCUCUAUUGGAGGCUCAAUCGGCUUUGCAGGCUACACAAUUUAUGCUACCACAAAAGGUGCAAUACACCAGCUUACGAGGAGUUUGGCCACCGAGUGGGGCCCCGACAACAUUCGUGUGAAUGCCAUCGCCCCAGGUUUUAUCACAACCGAUAUGAUUAAAGAUAUUGAUACAGAGUUUAUGAAGCAAGAGCACUUGAAGACCCCGUUGGGACGGAGCGGCAAGCCGGUGGAGAUCGCCACAGCAGUGUCAUUCCUAUGCAUGCCGGCAGCUUCUUUUAUCACCGGCCAAGUCAUUUGCAUCGAUGGUGGUCGAACUAUUAGUUCUUAA